rnacentral:lncRNA from 1 species
AUGCCAGGCUGUGCUUUUUACAAGCAAAAAGAAAAAAAAAGAGAAACUCAAGAGUUUCCUCUGAUGCUGCGAAACAGAGUUAUUCUCAAUCGUCUUGCUGCCUCUCCUGAAGGAACACCUCUCCCAGCUGAAGGUCCCACCACUGGCAGCAUCAUUGGAGCCAUCAUUGGGGUCAUUAUAAUCAUAGCAAUCAUUGGAACAGUCAUUGCAGUGUUCCGCAAGCACAAGAACAACAUCAUGAACAAAGACGGUCCACCCAAACACAAGCCCCCUCCCCCUAAGAAGACUGUAAAUUAUCAGUCCCAGGUAAGUCUUUGCCAAAUGCAGACAUGGAGUCUUAAAACAGUUGAGGUUGCCAAACAAAUGGCAAAAAUAUCACAAAUAUUGGAUCCAAUUUAA